UCGUAGCUAAGCUUGGUGAAGAAGUAGUGGAAACUGGAGCAAAUCAAGUUAACAUAAUUUUAAAAAUGUAUUUAUUUCUUGUCAAAUUCAAAUAAAUGGCUUCGCCUUUGAAUGAGCACCAUUAAAAAUGAAUGGAAUGCAGCGCCAGAGUACAAGCAGGUCCCAGAUACUCGUAGAAUACAUACAUCCAACAGAAGAGUAUACUCUUCGAAUGAAACGCCGAGAGGAAAAUAAAUAUUCUAUGAGCAACCCGCCUAGCAUCCAUCAACGGGAAGCCUUGACUUAAGUGCCAAUAUAGCGGACAGUAAAAGCAGGAACAGAUUAGGUUAGAGCUGAGACGGAGCUCCGCGAAAGUUAAUUCAGUCUACUAGUACUUCUGGGAACACGCUGGCGCUCUGAGAGUGGGCAGUAUUUGGGAUGAUAAAAGUGGGGUGCGCCCACUUAACCCAAUUUGACUGUCAGUGCAAUUUGCCUUUGGUCUACGCUUUGGGACAGGGCAACGCUCUGGGAACCGAUGCUGGGAACCGAAGCGGGCCAGACACGAGUAAGCAACUGUCAUCGGGUGUUCCCAAGUCAAUGGCGUAGAAGAAAUUGAUUUGUUUUGAUUUAUCCCCAUGAACUUUGCCUUCUGUUCCACACCACACCACACCCAGUUGCCAUUGCUAGUCAGCCGUCGCUGCCUUUGCGUCCCCUUACUAGUGGUCCCGCUUGCCACUUUGCUGUCUUCGUUGCCCUCUAAGCAAAUUCGUCUGAUUGCUCCACGGACUGCUGCUGCUCCUGUCGUCCUCCUCCCAGCACCGUCCAUUCCUGGCCUGGCCUUCCACUGUCGUCGUGCUCAGGAUGCGUUGCUUCCAUAUUUUAUUGACCCAUUUUGUUCCGAACAAUAAAUGGCAAUUCUCGUCUGUUGACAUAGUGGGGCUGGUCCCUGCCCCUGCCCCUGCCUCCAUCCAUUUCAGCCAAUAAAACUUGAUAUGUCACUGAUAUGACCGGCGCUCGCCCAA
rnacentral:sRNA from 1 species